CCCCCCCCGCCGGCCCUCCCACCCCACCCCACGCGCCGCCGCCGGCCGCGCGGCACGACGGCCUCCCCGCCGGUCCUAGGAACCGGCGCGUUCUUCCUCUCUGUGAGGCAGGCGACGGCAACGACACAAUCGGCAUACGGGCUCUGGAACCGGCAGCGGAGUGAGGAACUGAGUUCUACUUGUUUCUCGGGCAGUCAUUGCGGCCCGUCGCCGGUCCUCUAGUCGCGCCGUGGGCUCGCCGCAACCGCCUCCUCAACGAGCCCGUCCGUGCUGGUCCCCCCCAACGGCGCCGUCCCCGCUGGUCCUCCCCAACGGCCCGGUCCCUGCUGGUCCUCUUCAAGGCGUCAUCCCUGCUCCUCGGCGCUGCGACGUCCCUACUGCUCCUUCCCGUGGCAAGAUUGAUGACUGGAGAGAUAUUGUAAUGCCUAAGGACCAAAUAGAACCACCCAGAGUAAGAACUUUGGGUGCCAACACAACACUCAGGCUUUGGUCAUGAGAACAUGGAAAACGUCUACUCGGACACUGCCACGUAUGUUGUUACCAGUAUUACCAAUAUCCUGACAACCCAUCUCAGUUUUCAUGGUUCUUGCUGCCAUACUUAUGUUAUUUUAAAUGCGGUAAUUACAGUACUUUGAAUGGUCAAAGACUGAAAACUCCAGUGUCACGAAGAAGCGCCCUGCAAGCUUUUAUCAUUUAACAGAAGAUGACGAACCCAUAACAAACAUGCUGGAGACCCUUGUCAAUUUAGCACCUGUGCUGGACUAGAGAAUCUUCAGCUCAUCAAAGCCAUCAUUUAUUAAAACGAUGUGAAACAGGACUUUAAAACAGUAUUUUCCCUCUAUGUGCUGUUAGAAUCAAGAUGAUGAGAUGUAGUGUAGGUACUAUGUUGACCAUGUGUUAAGUUUCUGACUGUAUGUAACAAGCUCUUAGCUGUACCUAGUUGCAGGCGUGCAGCUUGGCACCUUGAACUAAUCUGAAUACUUUCAUGGUUCGCCCAUCUAUUAGUGUUAGUACUUGUGGUGGUCUGCUCAAGCCUGGAAUGGUUGGUAGAACAAAGCAUGAACCUGCUAUGUAUUUUUGUGGAAUUAGAUGCCAUAAACAUAUGGAGGACAGGUUCUGCUAAUGUUAUCUGGUGAUGGAACCCCUUUCUGUUCC